UACGUAGGUGGCAAGCGUUGUCCGGAUUUAUUGGGUUUAAAGGGUGCGUAGGCGGCCCUGUAAGUCAGUGCUGAAAUAUCCCGGCUUAACCGGGAGGGUGGCAUUGAUACUGCAGGGCUUGAAUCCGGGAGAGGGAUGCAGAAUUCCAGGUGUAGCGGUGAAAUGCGUAGAGAUCGGGAGGAACACCAGUGGCGAAGGCGGCUCGCUGGGCCGGACCUGACGCUGAGACGCGAAGGCGUGGGGAGCGAACGGG
rnacentral:rRNA from 1 species